UGGCUCAGUAGAUGGAGCUUGUGACUCUUGAUCACAAGCUGUGAGUUCAAGUCCCAC
rnacentral:tRNA from 1 species